AUUUUUUUCGUUUACCGAAUGACGCGUGACACCAACAAAAUUUCACCCAUCCUACACAAAAAUAAAUAAAUUUAUAUUUAAUCCUCACAAUUAGUGAUUUUGUUGUUUUAUUUCAUGAAUAGUUUAAUAUUUUAUUAUAUACUCUAAUGUGGUUUGAUUGGAAUAUUAAAUAUAUUUAAACUUUUCAGCAAAUUUAUUAGAGUCCGACUCGGCAUGGAUUGAAACUCGUCCUCUAAAAGGAAAACGUGGACGUCGUCCUAAACAACCGAAAAAGGACGAACGUCUGGCAGACAGAGUAUUAGCUGCUGUACAACGCGGCCGUGGGCAACCUGCUUUAUACGCCUCUACUACCAAAGGCGGCAUGAAACUUAUCUACGAAGGACAUCAUUUUCGAUUCACAUUCCGAAGAGGUCCAUAUUCAAUUUUUCAAUGUUGUUAUAAGGAGAAUAUGCAGGAAUGUAAAGUUCGGGUUGUUACUGAUCAGAAACGGGUCUUCCCCCUGGACGGAGAACAUGUACAUUUCAUGCAGGCCACAGAUAAAAGUGUAACAUCUAUGACUUUUGAACCUGAUGGUCAUUUGGACGAUGAAGAUAGUCAAGAACAGCACGAACAAAGUGACGCCUUCGAUGAGUAUGAGAUACAGGUAACUGAUUCAGUCCAGACAAGUGAGCCGCGAACAAUGGAAUUGGAUAAUUCGGAAGAGUUUUUGGCAGAGCCAAACGAAGAUACACCUGUUUCCUCGGACACAAAUGAUUUUCGAGAAAAAAUAAAGCGGCGCUUGCAAAAAGCACUUUUAGGCAAAAAGAAAUGAUACGACAAUGUCGAAUCCUUUGAAUCAACCACAUACAAUUAUAAAUAUUUUUUUAUUAUAGAUUUUAUAAAUUUCUGUAUACAGAUAUUUAAUAGCAAGUGCCUUAAGUGGAUAAUACAGUGCAUAAGAACAUGAAGAUAAUAAAUAAAAAAAAAUAUAAGUGCCUAUAUACAGAUUUUUAAUAUAUUACAGGACAAGCAUCUUUGGCUGAUAUGUGCGUAUACUCGUAAACUAAUAAAUUUUUUCCAAUAUUUACUUACAGUAAUGCAACAUGUACGUAACUGUGGUCCGCAAAUGUUUAUUUACAGUCGUAAGGGCGGCACACUGUUGGCGAUAAAUGAUUUUAUAUAUCGCUCAAAUUUAAAGCGUUUCGGAAGAAAUAGUGACAAGGUAUACUGGGAAUGUAUUCACAAUCGUUCCAAAAAAUGCCGAAGUCGUUUAAAAACUAUUGGCGAUGAUCUAUACGUUACAAAUGAUGUUCACAAUCAUAUAGGUGAUGGUCAACGCAUUGCUACCGCGAGACGGGCUGGUUUAUUAAUUUAUAAAAAAUUUAGUUCAAUAGGACAAAAUGUCGGAAAAUUACAAUGCAAUACGAUCUCUUAGAAAAGUUAAAUAUGUUUAAAAUGUUAAAUUUUAAAUAAAAUUUUUAGUUUAUUUGUUAUGGACAAUAUACUUAGAUAGACAUAAGUAUAUUAUUUUUACAUUAAUAAAAUAGUCCAUAUAUGUAUAUCAUUUUAAAUUACAUACUUACAUACAUACAUAUGUGGAUGAGAUUCAAAACGCUAAA
rnacentral:misc_RNA from 1 species